rnacentral:rRNA from 1 species
UACGUAGGGCGCAAGCGUUGUCCGGAAUUAUUGGGCGUAAAGAGCUCGUAGGCGGCUUGUCACGUCGGGUGUGAAAGCCCGGGGCUUAACCCCGGGUCUGCAUUCGAUACGGGCAGGCUAGAGUGUGGUAGGGGAGAUCGGAAUUCCUGGUGUAGCGGUGAAAUGCGCAGAUAUCAGGAGGAACACCGGUGGCGAAGGCGGUGGUCUGGGCCGGCACUGACGCUGAGGAGCGAAAGCGUGGGUAGCAAACAGG